CUUUUAUUUGAUGUGCAUAGUAUUAACAAGGGUUACAUCACAGACAUAUUAAUGUCUAGCAAUUUCUUUUUUAAUGAUCAACAGGGAUAGUCAUUUAAAAAGGCAGAUAAAUGUGGCUACAAAGUACAUUUUUCUGAAGUUUUAGUUCAAACAUCCGACCAGUUUAUUGGAUUUAUCUUCUUCAAUUUCAGAUGGUUUCAACUGCUUUUAAAUAAAAUAAUUAAAUCGAGGCAUUCAUUUGUAAAAUGUUCUUGUUUUUAAGAACAUCUAACAAGUAAUAUUGUAAUCAUUUUUUGUGUGUGCUUUUCAAUAUAAUAAAGUACAAUUUUGGGAAACUAUAUAUACUAAGUUUUCCUAAAUGGCCCCCACAUCUAUCAUAUCACAAGGAUACAUGAUGUAUUCAGUGUAAAUGCUUGAUAAUACUAACCUCACUUCUGCUCCAGGGCUGCCAUUUCCUCAUCUUCAUGGGUGUUACUCCUCCUUGCUCUCUUCUGUAAUUUGCCCUGCUUGGCUAAGCUUUCUCCCUAAAGCAGUUGUUCCCAACCUAUGGUACACGUACCCCCAGGGUACAAUUUAGCUCCCUCUGUGUUACCCGAAAAAAUGUCUGUAAUGGCAGAACUGACAUCCGCAGGGCCGAACCAGGGUGCAUUGCCCCUGAGACUGGUGUGCCCUGGAUUUGUUUCUUUCAUACUUUCUCUGGAAUGGAGUAACAGAAUGGAGAAGCCUUACUCUGCUUCUCCAUCCUGUCAGUAUAAGCAGUGUUGAAAGUAUAGCAUCACAAUAUUUACUAAAUAAUCUCGCCUAUCAUCAUUUAGCCAACCCCAUGAUACACAUUUCUUCAAAGAAUGAACAAAUAAAUACAAAUUAAAAAUCUGUCAUACAGGGUGAAUUACAAUCUAUCGUUAAUUAUUGACACAGUUAAGGUCGCUGUUGAGUUUUAAGCGAUGUCAAAGCAAUCAGAGUGUCACUCUUUCAAUCACUGUUUAUAUUCUACCACAAUUCAAUAAAAAGCUGAACCUCACAGCUCUCGCGGCCAGUUUCGCCAGGGCAGUUUGAUAGACGACCAAGCGCUGCCCGUCUUGCUUCAUUAUUCGAGUGCAGAGCAGAGAGAGGCUGUGACUGAGUGCAUCGUGUGGGAGGGCACCACAGAGCAACAUGACAACAGGAGCUGUGCACACAUGGUGGGAUCCCAGAAAGGUAAGAACUCUCCUUUUGGGGCACCCUCUGCACUGUCACUGCCCCUCCCCACUGUGACUGGCCCCCACACUGUCAUUGGCCUCUCACCAACUGUCACUGACUCUCUGACACACUGCCACUGGCACACUUUUACUGUCCUCCUCCCCACUGUCAACCUCUCACACUGCACUGCCCCCCUCACCACUAUCACCUACCCACACUCUCACUACUCCCCUCGCCACUGUCUCCCUCCCACACUGUCACUGGCCUCCUCCCCACUGUCACCCUCCCACAGUGUCACUGCCCUCCUCCCCACUGUCACUGCCUCCUUCCCACUGUCACCUUCCCAUAAUGUUAUUGUCUCC